GUUGAAACACCGGUUCCCGUACGAUCACUAAAGUUAAGCAACGUCGAUCCUGGUCAGUCCCUAGAUGAGAGACCGCCUGGGAAUAUCGGAAGUUGUAAG